rnacentral:rRNA from 1 species
UACAGAGGUCUCAACCGUCGUCCGGAAUUAUUGGGCGUAAAGCGCGCGCAGGCGGUCCUUUAAGUCUGAUGUGAAAGCCCACGGCUCAACCGUGGAGGGUCAUUGGAAACUGGGGGACUUGAGUGCAAAAGAGGAAAGCGGAAUUCCACGUGUAGCGGUGAAAUGCGUAGAGAUGUGGAGGAACACCAGUGGCGAAGGCGGCUUUCUGGUCUGUAACUGACGCUGAGGCGCGAAAGCGUGGGGAGCAAACAGG